UACGUAGGGUGCGAGCGUUAAUCGGAAUUACUGGGCGUAAAGGGCCCGUAGGCGGCCAACUAAGUCGGAUGUGAAAUCCCCAGGCUCAACUUGGGAACUGCAUCCGAUACUGGAUGGCUUGAAUUCGGGAGAGGGAUGCAGAAUUCCAGGUGUAGCGGUGAAAUGCGUAGAUAUCUGGAGGAAUACCGGUGGCGAAGGCGGCAUCCUGGACCGACAUUGACGCUGAACGGCGAAAGCUAGGGGAGCAAACGGG
rnacentral:rRNA from 1 species